rnacentral:rRNA from 1 species
GGCAGCUUUAGAGAUAGAGUUUUCUUCGGACAGAUUACAAGGUGCUGCAUGGUUGUUGUCAGCUCGUGCCGUGAGGUGUCAGGUUAAGUCCUAUAACGAGCGCAACCCCUGUCGUUAGUUGCCAGCAUGUAAAGAUGGGGACUCUAACGAGACUGCCUACGCAAGUAGUGAGGAAGGUGGGGAUGACGUCAAAUCAUCACGGCCCUUACGUCCUGGGCCACACACGUGCU